CUUGGUCAUUUAGAGGAAGUAAAAGUCGUAACAAGGUCUCCGUUGGUGAACCAGCGGAGGGAUCAUUACAGAGUUGCAAAACUCCCCAAACCAUUUGUGAACCUACCCCUAAAACAGUUGCUUCGGCGGCGCCCUGACCGGCCCGCCGGGGACCACCAAACGCUUUGUUUUUAUGCACUGGCCUCUCUGAGUUAUUGUACUGUAAUAAGUCAAAACUUUCAACAACGGAUCUCUUGGCUCUGGCAUCGAUGAAGAACGCAGCGAAAUGCGAUAAGUAAUGUGAAUUGCAGAAUUCAGUGAAUCAUCGAAUCUUUGAACGCACAUUGCGCCCUUUGGUAUUCCAAAGGGCAUGCCUGUUCGAGCGUCAUUUGUACCCUCAAGCUUUGCUUGGUGUUGGGCGUUUUUGUCUUUGGCCGCCAAAGACUCGCCUUAAAAUGAUUGGCAGCCGGCCUACUGGUUUCGCAGCGCAGCACAUUUUUGCGCUUGCAAUCAGCAAAAGAGGACGGCAAUCCAUCAAGACUCCUUCUCACGUUUGACCUCGGAUCAGGUAGGGAUACCCGCUGAACUUAAGCAUAUCAAUAAGCGGAGGA
rnacentral:rRNA from 1 species